GCUUUGAUGAUACUGCGUACACGGUGGAUGCCCUGGCAGUCAGAGGCGAUGAAGGGCGUGCUAAUCUGCGAUAAGCGCCGGUAAGGUGAUAUGAACCGUUAUAACCGGCGAUACCCGAAUGGGGAAACCCAGUGUGACUCG
rnacentral:rRNA from 1 species